UCCGACCGUUUGUUCCUUUUUCCGACCUCAGAUCGGACGAGAUUACCCGCUGAAUUUAAGCAUAUCACUAAGCGGAGAA
rnacentral:rRNA from 1 species